UGUGGAUUAAUUCGAUGCAACGCGAAAACCUUACCCGGCCUUGACAUGUAGCGAACUUUCCAGAGAUGGAUUGGUGCUCGAAAGAGAACGCUAACACAGGUGCUGCAUGGCUGUCGUCAGCUCGUGUCGUGAGAUGUUGGGUUAAGUCCCGCAACGAGCGCAACCCUUGCCAUUAAUUGCCAUCAUUUAGUUGGGCACUUUAAUGGGACUGCCGGUGACAAACCGGAGGAAGGUGGGGAUGACGUCAAGUCCUCAUGGCCCUUAUGGGUAGGGCUUCACACGUCAUACAAUGGUCGGUACAGAGGGUUGCCAAGCCGCGAGGUGGAGCCAAUCCCAGAAAGCCGAUCGUAGUCCGGAUUGUUCUCUGCAACUCGAGAGCAUGAAGUCGGAAUCGCUAGUAAUCGCGGAUCAGCAUGUCGCGGUGAAUACGUUCCCGGGUCUU
rnacentral:rRNA from 1 species